UAGGGAGGAGAGAAAUGCUUGUAGUUUGAGACUAACAAAAUCAACAGUGGCUGGUAAUUUGACCAUGACAAGUCUAGAUAGCUGACCGCUAAACUCAUUUAGCAAUCCCCCCCCCCAAAAAAUGCUGAUGUAAAACCAAAUUUCGAAAUUGCUCCUUGUGCAUUCUACUAUUCCGAGGGCCGCCAGUUGCCCUGUCCGAAGCCUACUGUACGCUAUACAUGCUCCGCAUUACAUCCAACAGGUAUUGAGUUAUAUUAUUAGCCUAAAUUAUGACAAUACAAUCUACUCAUCACAUUACGAAUAGUAGGCUUGCAUAAGUGCAAAUGCGAUGAUGCAUGGAAUGCUUUAUUAUGAAGGUGCAUUUUUAAGGGACAUUUUGCUUCCCCAAACUUAACUCACACGCCUCAUAUAGUCAUGACGUUUUGCUUUUGAGCCAUUAUUUAUAUUAUAACCAUUGUUAGUGAACUACACGGAAAACAUUUUACAUCAUCUGAUCAUGAGCAUUUGAAUAACAUUUAAAAUAGCAUUUCAGAAUGAUUGUAAUUUGUAUAUUUCUUUGCAUAGCUGGAAGUGGAGCUAAGAAGAUUAAUAAUUUGUCUGUCUAAUGGUGAAAGAGUUGGGUGAGCUCGGACAAUGUCAACUGGUUUCGGUUGUUGGUAUGACGAUAAGUAAAUUAUUUUCUAAAGUGACUAGGCGGAUGAGGUCAAGAGAAAAACCACACCAGCUGUUUUUCAAAGGUUACGUGCACAGAUAAAUCCAGGAGGGGAUACAUUUGUGUAAGAAACAGGAUCACAGUUUCAUCCUAAAGUUGUUUGUAACCGAUAACUUAGCAGACCGAUAACUUAGCAGAUGUAAAGUGUAUUGGAAAUGUAUUGAUUUAGAAUUUGCACCCUUCAGUACUUAUGGAGGACUACAAUGGAUAGAAAUUAUAUUCAAGGUACACUAUAUAAACUACCGUUCAAAAGUUUGGGGUCACUUAGAAAUGUCCUUGUUUUUGAGAGAAAAGCACAUUUUUUGUCCAUUAAAAUAACAUAAAAUUGAUCAGAAACACAAUGUUGACAUUUUUAAUGUUGUAAAUGAUUAUUAUAUAUUCCAUUAUAUUAUAUUCCAUAUGUUCCAUUAAAAAUCAGCUGUUUCCAGCUACAACAGUAAUUUACAACAUUAACAAUGUAUACACUAUUUCUGAUCAAUUUUAUGUUAUUUUAAUGGACAAAAAAUGUGCUUUUCUUUCAAUAACAAGGACAUUUCUAAGUGACCCCAAACUUUCGAACGGUAGUGUAUAAAAGUAUAUACAAACUUUUUUGACUCAUCUCAUACACUGUAACUACUGUGUAUCUUUCCUGUUGUCUAGUCACUUUAUUCCUAGUUAUAUGUACAUACACUAUAUAUACAAAAGUAUGUGGAUACCCCUUCAAAUUAGUGGAUCAGCUAUUUCAGCCAAAUCCGUUACUGACAGGUGUAUAAAAUAGAGCACACCGCCAUGCAAUCUCCACAGACAAACAUUGGCAGUAGAAUGGCCUUACUGAAGAGCUCAGUGACUUUCAACGUGGCACCGUCAUAGGAUGCCAACUUUCCAACAAGUCAGUUUAGAAUGACAUUGUAGAUGAUUCCGUGCUUCCAACUUUGUGGCAACGGUUUGGGGAAGUAUUUUUCCUGUUUCAGCUUGACAAUGCCUCCGUGCAUGAAGCGAGGUCCAUACAGAAGUGGUUUGUUGAGAUCGGUGUGGAAGAAAUUGACUGGCCUGCACAGAGCCCUCACCUCAACCACAUUGAACACCUUUGCAAUGAAUUGGAACGCAGACUGCGAGCCAGGCCUAAUCGCCCAACAUCGGUGCCCGACCUCACUAAUGCUCUGAAUGGAAGCAAGUCUCCAAAGCAUUGUUUUAACAUCUAAUAGAAAGCCUUCCCAGAAGAGUGGAGGCUGUUAUAGCAGAAAAGGGGGGACCAACUCCAUAUUAAUGCCCAUGAUUUUGGAAUGAGAUAUUUGAUGAGCAGGUGUCCCCAUACGUGAGGGUAAUGUAUCCACAUCAACAUCCAGACAGACUCGGGGCUCUCUGGUUUUAGUCCCUCAGCCAUCUCUAACGACUCCUCCUUCUUCUGCUCUAGCUCAAAAGUUCUGAGCAUUUCCUAUGUCA
ensembl:lncRNA